UACGGAGGGAGCUAGCGUUGUUCGGAAUUACUGGGCGUAAAGCGCACGUAGGCGGCGAUUCAAGUCAGUGGUGAAAUCUUCGAGCUUAACUCGGAAACUGCCGUUGAUACUAUCUGUCUUGAAUCCCGUGGAGAUGAGCGGAAUAUGUCAUGUAGCGGUGAAAAUGCUUAGAUAUGACAUAGAACACCAAUUGCGAAGGCAGCUCGUUACACGAAGAUUGACUCUGAGGCACGAAAGCGUGGGGAUCAAACAGG
rnacentral:rRNA from 1 species